ensembl:lincRNA
GCAGCGGAGGAGGAGGCGCGCGGCCGGGGCGCGGCCAGCGGGGUCCCCGCACGCGCUAGGAGGGCGCAGAGCCGGUCGCCUUGGGGCUCAGCCCUCCCCUCCCCCACCCGCAGGGGCUUUGUGACCUCUGCUCGCCCCAGAGGUGCCGGGCCGCUCCGCUCCGCGCAGCCCCUCCCAGUCCCAGGUGGCAGGGUCUCGGCCUUCCUGCACAACCUUCUCCGCGCUCAGAUAAGGUUUAAUUUUGUGUCCAGGAGCAGGGGACAGGGAGGCGCAUUUACGGAUUUCAGGUUGCGGGUCCCCUGCAACGUCCGGUCACCCGCAGCCGUCCCAGCCCCCCAUGUCAAAUCGCCAUUCCCCCCCCCCCACCCCGCUCCCAAACGUGCCGCAUGAGCACAGCGCUGGAAGGCCACAUCGCCACCCCAAUUCCGUAUGCACACUACUAACGUGAGUGGGGAUGGUCUCCCCCACCCCGGGUCGUGAGUUCACAUUUCCAGCGCUCGGUGCACAGGCGCACACGCCCGCACUCUCCGCGAGACACGCCGUCCCUCGCGCCUGCUCGGGCGCCAACCUUGCCGGCCGGCGUUGUAUAAAUAACACCAGCCCUGCGGCAAACGCUGCAUUGGCUUAUUUUCUGCUGUUCUCAGAGCUCACGCCGGGUUGGCUUUCAGAUCACCCUGUCAUCGAAGCCUCACCUUCGCAGCCCAGCCUGCUGGACCUCACAGAUGAAGUGGGGAAGGGGUCAUGGCUCAACUGUCAGAGCAAGAGCCUCCUCCAGCAGGUUUGAAUCCAGUAUUGGGAUUUGACGUGUCAACUUUCUCUUCCUCAUUCUGCGGGGCUGCUUAGCAAACCAUAAGAAAGCUUUUAAGAAGAUACUUAUUUAAAAGAAGACAGAACGUGAUGGAUAUAUUAAUUUCCUUGACUGUAGUAAUUACUUCAUUGUAUAUGUCCCACUACCCUGCACACCUGAAAUAUAUACAAUAAAAUGAAGGAAAAGUUUUGCAGAAAUAGAGUAAGUUCUGUUUGCCCUUUGCGAGGGGUAUUUGUUAAUGUGCAUUGUGGGUGGGAGAGCCCAUAGUCCUGAAGGAAGAACUUCAUUUUGAAGCCUAACAGGUGAUAACGAUCCUCAGAGGGCCCAUUCCUAGACUCUGGACAUGCACUGGGAAAUAGUACUAAGAUUUAAGCUGAAAGGAAUCAGCGCAGGAUGCUUGGAGUUCAUCAUCUGCUACUCACUCCAGGCACUGUAAUGAAGUUGUUGAUUAGAUUAGAGGUUUCCCUAAGUCCCUCUAGGAUCCACAUUUCCCCCAAAUCUAGUCAAGAAAAUUAAAAUGUAACUAAUUUAGAUAGACGGGCCUUCUGUUUAUUAAAACAUGCACAAAUGACUUCAUAGUGGACCUAGAACAGAAGGGGUGAAGGGAGAGGGGCUGAUGCUUGGACAGCUCCGGGGUAUGUUGGUCCACCAGUUAGUCCUGACAAGGCCACCAGACCUGUUCUAAUUUUCUGCAUAGCUGGUUGCCGUUACCUGCUAUUUUUCUUGUUUACUUAUUGAUUUACUUCCCCCCACUUCCAGAAUGUAAGCACCAGUGGGACUGAUGCUUUGUCCUCAGCUUUAUUCCUGGGCACUCAAAUGGUUCCUAUCGCACGGAAGAUUCUUAAUGCCUGUUUGUUGAAUAAAUGAGUAUGCCCAGUUAUCAUUUGACGACACUAUCUGGUAAGAUCAUACGACUGGGUUUACUUUGAUUCUUAAGCCGCUAAGCAAGCUUUUCAUAUUCGUCCAAAGUCACAGUGCUCGGAUCAGUCAGCAUGAGAAUUCAAGUGAAAUUGGCAACUAUAUUUCUCUUUCUCUCUUCUCCUUUGGUUUCUCUCUUGUUUCUCUCUCUUCCUGGUGGUAUUGGGGAUGAAACCCACAGCUUUUGCACUGAGCUACACCCCCAGACUUACAGUUUUUAUUUUGAAAGAGGGUCUCACUGAGUUGCUGUUUCCCAGGCUGGGCUCCAGCUUGUGGUCUUCCUGCCUCAGCCUCCCAGAGAAACGGUAUGAAAGCUGUAGACCACCACACGAGGCGGCAGUUCUAUUUCUUAUUGAAGGCUCUUCCGAUUAAUGGGCUCUCUCCGGGUGUGAAGUUCUUGUGGGCAGCUGUCGACUUGAAGAGGGUGGCUUAUAGGCCAAAUGCAGCUCAAAGACCACGUGCAGUGUUUCCAGAAAAACAAUUGCCAACAUUUCAAAUUUCAGAAAUUGAUUAUUUUUAAAAAUGUGUUUGGGGACUCGCCUAACGCAGCAGAAGCCCAGGCCAUUUUGAUGCCCUGUGUUUGUAGCUUCCUUGGGCUGCGUAAGCGGGCAGGUGUCCUCCAGCUCAUGUGCAUCCCCGUGAGUACCUUUUGGCCCUCAGAAGCAUCUGCACUUGUGACCUUAGAUUUAUAUUAGUAUCUCAAAUGCACUGAUCUCCACGGAGAAGCUGAGUCAUUCUCUUUGCCUUUCAAAGCCUGUUAAAUAAUCCCCCAAUGUAUAAGUCCCUAAAAACUGAGAGAAUAAAGAAGAUAAGUGAAGGAUAUAAUACACUCGCCAACACACAUGAAUAAUUUUGUUUCCCUGGUGAUAACAAGAGAACAAAAAGGGUUUUUGACUUCUAAAACUGAUGGAAACCUAAUUUUAUUUAUUUAUUUAUUUAUUCUCCAGUACCAGGAAUUGAACUCAUGACCUUGGGCUUGCCAGGCGGGUGCUGUGCCACUGAGCUAAAUCCCCAGCCCUGGAGACCUAAUUUUAAAUGUCUCCAAAAUUCUGUAAGAGUUAAUUCCAAGGAGCUGGUGUCAAGGUUAAUUAACUUUAAAUGUAUAAUACCCAUCAUAUCAAAUAGAUUUCAUACUGGUUGUAUUUGUGUAUUUAUAUUGUUUAUAUUUGAAUUAUAGAUGGAUAGGUCACAUAUUGGCAUGUCACAUGUCUUUCUUUUUUGCUUAUGGCAGCUUGAUUUACUCCUUUCAAAUAAUUAUUUGAGAAGUGGUUAUUUUCAUUUUGAAAAAGCGGGAGCAAUAUGAAAUAAUUUCCAAUUCUAGUUGUGCAUACAGUCCUUGCAUAUCACCUAUAUAAUCUUUAGACUUUUGGAAUGUCAACUCUGACUCUUUAAUAAGGAACUUGACAUUUACAAAACCUAUCGUAAAUGAAAAUGAAAAGGCUACUUUCAUUCAGUGGUAGAAGUAAUAAAAAUGUCACAUAAUCUAUCCUAAGGAAAGCCACAGUAAUGGCUUGAGAAAAACUACCUGCUCAUCCAGUACAUACCAAAUUCUUCCUUCUUGAUCAGAAGGCUACAUAAAAAUAACUAAGUGAGGAAUAGAAAACUUCUAUGCAAAAAGCUAUCGCAUUGCAAGGUAGGGUCCAAUGACUCUCAAAAUCUUAGUCAAAAUUUAACUUUGAACUCUUUUAUUGAGUUAAAAACAAUUGUAACAAAGAUGAGCUAGAAUUUGACGUUGGCUUAUCUGCUAUCUUAGUCAAAAUUUAACUUUGAACUCUUUUAUUGA